GUAAGGAGCUGGCUUACCUUGGCAGCCAUGUGAUCUAGCACGGGACUGUUACAUCGUAGGCCUUUGAGAAAUGUUUUGGAAGCUGUAUUUGAUUUGCCAGUUCACUUACUAAGUGAGUGGAUAAGGCAAAACACAUACACACGAAGAAAAAAGUCAAAAUGACAAAAACACCCCAAGAGGAGCUCCUGUUGUGCCUCAGGGGAGUGAGAACCCAACUAGUGCUCACGAGGACGCGGGUUCCAUCCCUGACCUCCCUCAGUGGGUUAAGGGUCCAGCGAGCUGCGGCACAGGUUGCAGAUGCAACUCGAACCUGGCGUUGCUGAGUCUGUUGCAGAGGCCAGCAGCUGCAGCUCUGACCUAGCCUGGGAACUUCCAUAUGCUGCAGGUGCGGCCCUAAAAAGAGAAUAAAGUAGGAUAGGAUAGGAUAAGAUAGGAUAGGAUAGGAAAAGACAGGAUAAUAAAAUGCAAUACUUAACACCUCAGGAGCAUGGAUAAAAUGAAGAAGGAAUAGUGGGUCACUGCUUCAGUGUUUAAGCCAUAGAUUUACAGAAUUUACCCCUCAUUAUUAUUAUUACCUUAUUUAAAUCUUACAAAACCUUGCUAAAUUGACAGAAUUAUUCCUGUUUUAUAGGCAAGGAGUUCAAACUUCAGGAAAAUUCAUGUCUUGCUAAAGACGAAACUAGUACUAUGUAGAAGAGUUGGGAUUAGAUUCAAAUAAGCGAUUUUAAGAUUUGAGUUGGAGAGUAAAGUGUAAAUACAAAAAUAGUUUUAAAGAGUUGUAGAAAAAGAUAGAUUACUGGGUAGAUGCACUUGUAUUAUAUUUACAGUGAAACAAAUACGUUCACUUUUGAUGUCCGUAUAAAACGUGAGGUUCCACAGUUUUAUGGGCAUAAUGUAAUAAUUGCAUUUGUUUCAAGCUUGAAAAUACGUGGGGAAAAGUGUUGUAGCCGAACAAGGAUUUGAAUCUUGGGUAAAGCAGACGCUUUUCUGCUUGAGUCAUGUGAUCUUGAUUUUUUUCAUUUUAGGAAAGCGGAGUGUGGGCACAUCAGCUCCAGACAUCCUAGGCCUUCUGAUAAACAAAUAUCAGCAUUUUUGACGAGCAGCAUUUGCCCAGUUUUUGUCCAAAUACUCCUCUUAAGAGUGGAAAAUGGCACGGAAAUGGGUUGGCAUUGAUAACUGUUGUUGGCAGACAUCACCUCUCACAGCUUUUCGCCUUGUCAAAGGAUGCCUCGUUCCCAAGGGAGUUCUGUAAGAGCAAAGCAAACGACCUGUAGGCAUAAAUCAGCGAGUUUGCUGCACGAGAGGACAUUCAUCUGGAAAGUCAGACACCCCUGUCAACUUCCAAUUUCUGGAGGUGGCAUUUCUUGAGGCCCUCCCUCUUGGAUUGGUGAGAGCCACUUCUUCACUCUUAAGGGAGGGAAGUGAAAACCCAGGGUUUCCUCCCUGUGUCAAUAAUCCACAACUUGAACAUGUGCCGACGUUUCUGAUUUCCUGGGAUUCUGCUGAAAUGGCCUUGGGGUUAGGAUACUCUAGGACAGUGAUCAGAAUGAGACCCCACUCUCAGGGAGCUCACAGCCUCAGUUAUUUUCAGCAUUCUUUAUAGUGCAGAGAAUCAGUGCUCCUUUUCUCCCAGCCUUGGGUUUUCAUUGCUGAACUUAAGACAUCGUAAGAAAAUGGCUGCUCAGCACACAUACACAGACUGAAGCACACACUUUAAAAACUAUCGUGAAAUGAUUAUAAAACCCACAAAAGACAUCCUCAGGUCCAGGGGGCUGCUGACUCCCAACUCAGGCUCUGUAAUCAGUAGCUUUCCAACUUUUAGACAGGUGCCAUCUAAAUCCAAGAUCGCCUGUGAACGGGAGAUUACAUCAGUCUGCGCAGAAUAAGCCUGUAACACUGUUCAUGAAACAAAUUUCACUGAGAUGAAAUUGGAAAUUUUUGAAUUUAAAAAAAUCAAAACAGAUAGGGCCAUUUAUAAGUUAUCUGCCAUUUUAUUUAGGAAUUUUAGGGCAAAUCAUGAUGAAAAUUAAGUUUAUUUCAAUCAGCUUUGUAGGUUACAAUUCAGAACAACUUUAAGAACUUUAAUAUCAAUCAAUUCUUUGAAAUUUUAUUACAGAAUAAAUUUGCCAAAACUGAAAGGGAAGAAAAAGAAUAUAUAUAGAAAUAUAAUUGUCCCAAUUAAGUUAUAUUCUUAUAGGGAAU
rnacentral:lncRNA from 1 species